CACUUGAAGGGGAGAUGGAGGGAUGGGACUUUUAUUAAUUAGAUGGAGUCAAUUUCCCAUAAUGCCCCUACUUUCUCUUAUAGAGAAGCUUCUGGACCAAUUCUUUUCUUUACCUUGACCAUGAAGUGCCAUGGGAUGACCUUUUCCUAUUCCGCUCUUGCUUAACAUGAUAAACAAUAUUGCCAAGCAUUAUCUCAGUUAUUUAAUCAGUUUUAUGGCCCUUCUUUUAGGAUAAUUACUUUUCUGCAUUUCCAUUCAAAAAUAAUAUUAAAUUAAAAAAAUUUCUUGCCUAUCUUUGUUAGAUUCAUGUACCUUUGUUGAAAUAGUGUACUUGAUAGCCAUUCAUUUUUAUAUCAUUUUUUUAAUAUUUUAUAUUUAUUAAAAAAUUUAUUAUUAAAAAAAAGGCCUCAUUCAUUGGAUUCGCCUUAGGCCCCCAAAUGUAUUGGGCCGCCCCUGG
rnacentral:lncRNA from 1 species